rnacentral:lncRNA from 1 species
UGAGCACUUUAAGUGAUGUGUCUAACGUUAAAGGAUACAUCGAGUUUUGCUAACUGCCCUCCGUUUGCCAUGGAGCCAGAGUUCCACCUGUCCUCCUCUUGUCUUGCUGAUUGACAGAUGUUUUGCUCCCUAUAUGGAAUUCUCUCUCCAUUCCCCGCGUCUCUCCUUUGCUGUGACUGCCCACAUUUUGUAAUCUGUAGCUUGCCUCUGCGGCUCAUGUCAACAACAGGACUGGUGUUAAAAGAAAGAGAAAGAGAGGUAGACAGAUUACUAAGACAAAGUUAAGGAAAGUUCAAAAGAAAAGGUGACGGUUGUGAGGAGACUUGCUUGGUGUGAAUGUAGUUGCCAUGGAGAAUUUCUUGCAGGAUAAGGACCUUUGGAUUGUGGGAAGUGUGUGUUUGGUUGCAUCCAUCCUAUGGAGACGAUUUUGGAAUGUAUUUACAUACAAGAGGAAAAGAGACAGUUCACCAGAAAGUGCAUCUAUUGACAUUCAGUUUAGAGAAAAGGAUGGGAAGGAGAAAUCUAAAGUGUACCAAAAGGGGUUGAAAACCCAGAAGAAAAAGAAACCACUGGAUGCAUCAGACUUAGUCCAGGCUGGGUUUGAAGAAGUGCAGAAGCUCAACCAACAGAACAAUCAGCUUUCUCAAUGUACGGCAGAGACUGCGCAUCUGGAUCUUAUUGAAGAGGAGCAAGAAGUAGACAAAUAUAGGGAAAGAAAGGAUGACAAACAACAGGCUACAGUGGAAGAAGAGGCAAGAGAGCAAGAAAUUGUUGCUGAAUUAUUUCAGAUAAAAGAGGAGGAUAAAAAGGAGGAAGAGGGAACGUUAACGACAGAGGGGGCU